rnacentral:piRNA from 1 species
UCGUUCAGUUCACAGAAACCUGCCGGGCACA